GGAAAGAUGCCGGAGUGGUUGAACGGGGCGGUCUCGAAAACCGUUGAUCAGCAUUGCUGAUCCGAGGGUUCGAAUCCCUCUCUUUCCG
rnacentral:tRNA from 1 species